UGUAUUUAUUAGAUUAAAAGCCAACGCCCUUCGGGGCUCCCUGGUGAUUCAUAAUAACUUUUCGAAUCGCAUGGCCUUGCGCCGGCGAUGGUUCAUUCAAAUUUCUUCCCUAUCAACUUUCGAUGCGAGGGUCUUGUCCUCGCAUGGUUGCAACGGGUAACGGAGGGUUAGGGCUCGACCCCGGAGAAGGAGCCUGAGAAACGGCUACUACAUCCAAGGAAGGCAGCAGGCGCGCAAAUUACCCAAUCCCGACACGGGGAGGUAGUGACAAUAAAUACUGAUACAGGGCUCUUUAGGGUCUUGUAAUCGGAAUGAGUACAAUUUAAAUCCCUUAACGAGGAACAAUUGGAGGGCAAGUCUGGUGCCAGCAGCCGCGGUAAUUCCAGCUCCAAUAGCGUAUAUUAAAGUUGUUGUGGUUAAAAAGCUCGUAGUCGAACCUUGGGCCUGGCCGGCCGGUCCCCCUCACCGGGUGCACUGAUCCGGCCGGGCCUUUCCCUCUGUGGAACCCCAUGGCCUUCACUGGCUGUGCGGGGGAACCAGG
rnacentral:rRNA from 1 species